rfam:Pan troglodytes isolate Yerkes chimp pedigree #C0471 (Clint) chromosome 22, whole genome shotgun sequence.
GCCAGGUGUGGUGACUCACGCCUGUAAUCCCAGCAAUUUGGGAGGCCGAGGUGGGUGGAUCACUUGAGGCCAGGAGUUCGAGACCAGCCUGGCCAAUAUGGUGAAACCCCAUCUCUA